rnacentral:lncRNA from 1 species
CUCUCUCCUCCGAUAUAUAGAUGUCUUUAGCUCCAUCCUAAAGCAUUCUAAUGAGAUCAUAAGGUGAUCAUAAGAGAAAUAAUAGUUAUAGGAAAGGAGAGAGAAACCAUACCUCACAUCUAAAAGAUCCAUCUUCUAUCUUCGGUUUAAGAAACCGUUCAAGAAGAACUCUCUGCUGCAAUAGAUGGAGGUACCCUUAUUACUCUUCUUAUGAUUCUAUUAUGUGAUUAGUCUUGAUGUUCAAAGAUCUUAGGAUUCGUGUAAAUUAUGCUUACAUUGUAGUCUUUUAUCUGUAAGUUAUUUCGUUGGCAUUCGCUUUGGGCUAGUGUUCUUAAGUGACUGGUAAGUGGUAAUAGUCCUUUAAAUAUUAGAUGCGGGCACAUUUCUGGGUCUUCAAAUCAUGUUCGUCAUGCACUCUCUUCAAUUGGUUUGUCUCUUUCUAGAACGAUAUCUUUCUUCUCCAAACAAAUAUUUUCUUUGCAAAAUGUCAUAUAAUUGUUUUAGCUUCAGAUAUAUAAACACUCUCUUGGAAGUGUAUUGCCUCUGUCAAUGCUCACUUGUUAUAAUCAGUCUCCUACAAAAUAAAAUCAUAGAACUAGUGUUGCCAGCGUCUUUUUAUAUAUAAUGUAGUCAUGAGUCUAGAUAUGUAAAAAUAAUUUUUUAUUGAAUGUGUCUUAGAAAAGGAUGCUAAUACGUACACACACACAUGAUAUGAUCAACCACGCAAUAAAGAGAAUAAAGGGUCAUAGUACUUCGAGAAGAUGUAAUCUUUAUCAUGUCUCGUUAUCUCCAUAUCCAAAAGUAUACGAUUGGUACUGGCUACUGCUUUGAGUUGAUCAAUUCCGUCUACGACAGCUAAAACAAAAACAAAUAGUUGUAGUCUUUUGCGGUACGUCUGUUGAAAAAUCUGGAUUUCUUUUCGUUUCAUUUUGUUUUUGUUAUGUUUGAACAACCAUGUCGGUGAUAUUUUAUAAUGUUUCUUCACAUCUAGAAUGUCCCAUUAAUAGCGAAAAACAAUGAUUUUCGGUUUCUUUUAUAUAUACAUAUGAAACUAUCAUUUGUUCUUUCGUAUCCAGUGACGAUAAUUAAUCGGAGUCUUGCUGUGACUGACAAAUGCUUUUAUCAAAAAGAUAGUACUAGAGAGAUACCAUACGCCUGUAAACCUCCAUAUAUCUCAAAAUCAUCUUUGCGACUCAAAAUCAGGGAACUUAGACACUUGUUCUUAUAGAUUUGCAACCUCUUUGGCAUGGACUCUCACAUUAUAAUUUCUAUCAUCGUUGAUAUGAUAUGUAGUCUUUAUUCACCCAAUUUUUUGUGAAUCUUGAUUAAUUUAUACCUUGAAUUCUUGAUGGUGAGCUUUUUUAAUCGAUUUCUUAGAUACAGUAAAAACUCUAUAAAUUAAUAAUGUUGGGAC